rnacentral:rRNA from 1 species
AGAGGGGGCAAGCGUUGUUCGGAAUUACUGGGCGUAAAGGGCGCGUAGGCGGCCUUUUAAGUCGAACGUGAAAUCCCUGGGCUCAACCCAGGAACUGCGUCCGAGACUGGAAGGCUCGAAUCCGGGAGAGGGAUGUGGAAUUCCAGGUGUAGCGGUGAAAUGCGUAGAUAUCUGGAGGAACAUCGGUGGCGAAGGCGGCAUCCUGGACCGGUAUUGACGCUGAGGCGCGAAAGCCAGGGGAGCAAACGGGAUUAGAUACCCCGGUAGUCCUGGCCCUAAACGAUGAAUGCUUGGUGUGGCGGGUAUCGAUCCCUGCCGUGCCGAAGCUAACGCAUUAAGCAUUCCGCCUGGGGAGUACGGUCGCAAGGCUG